rnacentral:rRNA from 1 species
UUAUUUUAGCGGCGGACGGGUGAGUAACGUGUGGGUAACCUGCCUUUUACUGGGGAAUAAUCACUGGAAACGGUGACUAAUACCGCAUACGGGUUCUUGGAAGGCAUCUUCUAGGAAAGAAAGGAUUUAUUCGGUAAAAGAUGGGCCCGCAUCUGAUUAGCUAGUUGGUGAGAUAACAGCCCACCAAGGCGACGAUCAGUAGCCGACCUGAGAGGGUGACCGGCCACAUUGGGACUGAGACACGGCCCAAACUCCUACGGGAGGCAGCAG